AAAAGAAUUCUUCAGGCAAGUUCUUUGUUUUACUAAUCUCUGUUUUAAUUUUGUAAUAUUGUAUAUGAGACUACUUUAGUUGAUGAAUCUUAAAAUAAUAUUUAUUGAUGAAUAGAUGAGACUCUAGUGUCAGAAACAGAACUGUUGUCUGGUGAAGAAUCAAAUUCUGAAAAUAAAAAUUUACUAACACUUAUUGACAUCUCUGGCAAGAAAAAUGCAGCAUCGUGGAAGGAUGAUUAUGCUGUUAAAACUCUUAUUGAUGAAUGGAGAGGACAUGAGAGCUAUUUCAAAAGCAUUACUAUUACUAACAAGAAAGUCUGGGAAAUGAUAGCCAGCAAGUUGAAGAAAGAGAACCCACUCUGGGACUAUACUGGUCAGCAAUGUGAAGACAAAUUUAAGGACCUCAGGAAACACUAUGUGAAAGCUAAGGACAAGAAUGAGAAGGGUAGUGGCCUUCCAGUUGCUACAUGCAAGUUUUAUAAAGAGAUGGAUGAUGCUCUUGGUGACAAGCCAGCUGUGAAACCUGUAUCCAUAGCUUCAACACUAAAAAAGCGUAAAUCUACUAUUGUAGAAACUCAAGAUUCAAGUGCAGCUUCUAUAUGCUUAAACAGCAGCAGUGAAGCCGAUAGUGAGCAUGGUUCUACUCCUAAAUCCAAAAUGAAAAAAAAAGUGUCACUGAAAAAAACAUCGAAAGAUUAUUAACUAUAAGAACAGAGGAGUCUAACAGAACAGAAGAGGCCCGACAGAAGAGGCACACUGAACGUAUGGAACGACAGGAUAGUGCCAUUGAAGUUUAUCAAAGUGUAAUGAGCCAACUCUUGAAGAAGUUAUAGAGUUAGUUUUAUAUUAUUGGAGCACUUGAUUUUGUAUUGCAAUUCUUAUGCUAGUCAGAGAAUUAUCUCAGUGUAUUAAUACAAGUGUAUUAAUUUGAAGAAGCGGAGGAAGUCCCGAAAUUUAGUCGGUAAUACGCCAUAUCUGAUUCGUCCUGUUCUACUAGCAACUCAUUGGUGCUCUAAAUAUAGUUGUCUUUAUCGUAAGUUUAUCGUUAUCAGCUCAGUUCUCGGUGCUCGCUUAGAAACGACACUCGUUAUACAUAUUCCUAUUUUGGAUAAAGGUAAACGAUACUUUUCAACGAAAACGCUCUUAAUUGCUUUUUUCUAAUUAAUAAUUUAUCUUACUUCUGCGUAAUGAGCAUGGAUAUUAAAAUAUUCUUUUUAAUUUAUUUUCACGGUUUAAUAUAAUAUAAUAAAUAUCACAUACGUAUCUCCCGAUAAUUAUUUACCACUUUUAAUUAACGUAGGUAGAAAUUAUAAUUUAUUAACCGUUUGAUUGUAUAUAAAUAAUUUAUCUGAU